CCUACGGGAGGCAGCAGUGGGGAAUAUUGCACAAUGGGGGAAACCCUGAUGCAGCGACGCCGCGUGAGCGAUGAAGUAUUUCGGUAUGUAAAGCUCUAUCAGCAGGGAAGAAAAUGCCGGUACCUGACUAAGAAGCCCCGGCUAACUACGUGCCAGCAGCCGCGGUACUACGUAGGGGGCAAGCGUUAUCCGGAUUUACUGGGGGUAAAGGGGGCGUAGACGGCGGUGCAAGCCAGUUGUGAAAGCCCGGGGGUCAACCCCGGGACUGCAGUUGAAACUGGGCGGCUCGAGUGGGGGAGAGGCAGGCGGAAUACGUGGUGUAGCGGUGAAAUGCGUAGAUAUUAGGAAGAACACCAGGGGCGAAGGCGGCCUGCUGGACGAUGACUGACGUUGAGGCACGAAAGCGUGGGGAGCAAACAGGAUUAGAUACCCCAGUAGUC
rnacentral:rRNA from 1 species